UGCCAGCCGCCGCGGUAAUACGGAGGGUGCAAGCGUUAAUCGGAAUUACUGGGCGUAAAGCGCGCGUAGGCGGCUAUUUAAGUCGGAUGUGAAAGCCCAGGGCUUAACCUUGGAAUUGCAUUCGAUACUGGGUAGCUAGAGUAUGGUAGAGGAUAGUGGAAUUUCCGGUGUAGCGGUGAAAUGCGUAGAGAUCGGAAGGAACAUCAGUGGCGAAGGCGACUGUCUGGACCAAUACUGACGCUGAGGUGUGAAAGCGUGGGGAGCAAACAGGAUUAGAUA
rnacentral:rRNA from 1 species